CCUGGGGGCUGGGUACACCUGUGUGAAAGGGAUCCAGGUGGGCCCUAACAGCAUCUACUCCCCUCUUCUAGAUGUUCUGGAAAGUGGAAAUCAUCCCUCUCAUUCUGCAGAUGAGAAGCAUAAAUGGUGUGGCCAGAAUUUGGACUCCGGUCUGGUGCCAGGACUAGGAGAAGAACACACCCUGUCAAGCCCAAAGAGAGUGAAAAACACAUCACUCUCGGAUGAUCAGAUAGACUGCACAUCUGAGACCUGAAGCUUAAUGAGGAGCCUCCAGGCCAAGCCCCACCCAGCUCCCCCAGCCCAAGGUAGUCCAAAGAUCGUCUGGCUGGUUCUGCUGACCUGAACUGGGCUUGGCUGGGCUCACUACGUCUGUGACAGUUGAAAUCUGGCUAGGUAGCUUUGCCGGUUUUGACUGAACUCCCUCUCCUAUCUUGGGCCUCAACUUGGGCAAUGGGGCUGAUUUGGCUUCGCUUCAGUUGUCUCAUCCUCCAGCAGGAUAAAGGAGCAGGUUCUGACAGUAAAGGAUGGAGAAAAAGAGAGUGGAUGUGCACAAGGCUUCUUGAAGCCUGGGCUCAGAACUGGCACACUGGCUUUCCACUACAUUCCAUUACCAAAGGC
rnacentral:lncRNA from 1 species